rnacentral:rRNA from 1 species
CGGCGGACGGGUGAGUAAUGCCUAGGAAUCUGCCUGGUAGUGGGGGACGAACGUUUCGAAAGGAACGCUAAUACCGCAUACGUCCUACGGGAGAAAGCAGGGACCUUCGGGCCUUGCGCUAUCAGAUGAGCCUAGGUCGGAUUAGCUAGUUGGUGAGGUAAUGGCUCACCAAGGCGACGAUCCGUAACUGGUCUGAGAGGAUGAUCAGUCACACUGGAACUGAGACACGGUCCAGACUCCUACGGGAGGCAGCAGC